AAUGAACGUACCGUCAUGCUUCCAGACUUAUCAAGGACUAAACACACAAUUCUUUGUCCGAUCUGCAACAAUGAGAAGUUCAUCAUCUUUUCUCCUUUACCAAUGGAAUCUCCAUCAUUCAAGCCCUCAUGGUCCCUCCCUCAGACUAUCUGACUUUUCCAUCUUGCUCCCUCUUUAAUUGGUCCACUCCACAGCUGCCAGAGAGACCUUCAAGAUGGCAGAGGAUUAAGACGUGGAGAUCACCUUCCUCCCCACAAAUACAUCAGAAAUACAUCUACAUGUGGAACAACUCCUACAGAACACCUAUUGAAUGCUGGCAGAAGACCUCAGACUUCC